rnacentral:tRNA from 2 species
GGUCCCAUCGUCUAGUGGCCUAGGACAUCGGGUUCUCAGCCCGGUAACACGGGUUCGACUCCCGUUGGGACCACCA